GGGAGGCCAGCGCAGCAGCAACCAACGCGGUUGUGGCAUUCGAGGCGGCCGACGGAGUCGAAGGUGACGGCACGGACGCGAGGGCCAUGAGCAGCACCACGAGGGCCUGGAGGGGAGAAGAAGUGCGGUUGAGAGAGGACGCGAAGAGCAGUCCGUGUGUGGUCUCGACGGUUGAAGUGGAGGCCGGAGGAAGGAGAUCAAUCCGCCGUUGUCGGCCGCGGGCACGAGGUCGCGGAAGCCAUCCGGUGCACUUCGUUGCUUUCUUUUCUCUAGGUGGUGGGAGGGUGCGCAGGAGCUUUGCUACAGAUACGGAAAUAUUUUACAAAGGAUUACGGAUGAGCUGGUGUAUCCAGAUUUAAUUGGUUGUUAGAUGGAAGCCGACCCCAUCAUGAAAAUCAAGGGGGAAAGAUUAGUUGUGAGGGAGAGAAGGAUCUGUAAAACAUCCGUAAUUAUCCGUACGUCUAGCAUUUUUGAGGUGCGCAGUGUUAAUAUAUUUUUUGUUGGCCA
rnacentral:lncRNA from 1 species